rnacentral:rRNA from 1 species
CCUACGGGGGGCUGCAGUGGGGAAUAUUGGACAAUCGGGGCAACCCUGAUCCAGCCAUGCCGCGUGUGUGAAGAAGGCCCUCGGGUUGUAAAGCACUUUCAGUGAGGAAGAACGCCUGGUGGUUAAUACCCAUCAGGAAAGACAUCACUCACAGAAGAAGCACCGGCUAACUCCGUGCCAGCAGCCGCGGUAAUACGGAGGGUGCGAGCGUUAAUCGGAAUUACUGGGCGUAAAGCGCGCGUAGGUGGCUUGAUAAGCCGGUUGUGAAAGCCCCGGGCUCAACCUGGGAACGGCAUCCGGAACUGUCAAGCUAGAGUGCAGGAGAGGAAGGUAGAAUUCCCGGUGUAGCGGUGAAAUGCGUAGAGAUCGGGAGGAAUACCAGUGGCGAAGGCGGCCUUCUGGACUGACACUGACACUGAGGUGCGAAAGCGUGGGUAGCAAACAGGAUUAGAUACCCCGGUAGUC